GCGAGGCCGAAAGGCGUAGUCGAUGGGAAACAGGUUAAUAUUCCUGUACUUGGUGUUACUGCGAAGGGGGGACGGAGAAGGCUAUGUUAGCCGGGCGACGGUUGUCCCGGUUUAAGCAUGUAGGCUGGUUAUCCAGGCAAAUCCGGAUAAUCAAGGCUGAGGUGUGAUGACGAGGCACUACGGUGCUGAAGUAACAAAUGCCCUGCUUCCAGGAAAAGCCUCUAAGCAUCAGGUAACAUUAAAUCGUACCCCAAACCGACACAGGUGGUCAGGUAGAGAAUACCAAGGCGCUUGAGAGAACUCGGGUGAAGGAACUAGGCAAAAUGGUGCCGUAACUUCGGGAGAAGGCACGCUGGUGUGUAGGUGA
rnacentral:rRNA from 1 species